CUCUGUGACUCCUACGGGAGGCAGCAGUGGGAAUAUUGCACAUGGGGGAAACCCUGAUGCAGCCAUGCCGCGUGUGUGAAGAAGGCCUUCGGGUUGUUAAAGCACUUUCAGUUAGGGAGGAAGGUAGUGUAGUUAACACCUGCAUUAUUUGACGUUACCUACAGAAGAAGCACCGGCUAACUCCGUGCCAGCAGCCGCGGUAAUACGGAGGGUGCGAGCGUUAAUCGGAAUUACUGGGCGUAAAGCGCAUGCAGGCGGCCUGUUAAGUCAGAUGUGAAAGCCCGGGGCUUAACCUCGGAAUUGCAUUUGAAACUGGCAGGCUAGAGUCUUGUAGAGGGGGUAGAAUUUCAGGUGUAGCGGUGAAAUGCGUAGAGAUCUGAAGGAAUACCAGUGGCGAAGGCGGCCCCCUGGACAAAGACUGACGCUCAGAUGCGAAAGCGUGGGGAGCAAACAGGAUUAGAUACCCUGGUAG
rnacentral:rRNA from 1 species